rnacentral:rRNA from 1 species
AAACCAACAGGGAUUGCCCCAGUAACGGCGAGUGAAGCGGCAACAGCUCAAAUUUGAAAUCUGGCUCUCGGGCCCGAGUUGUAAUUUGUAGAGGAUGCUUUUGGCGAGGUGCCUUCUGAGUUCCCUGGAACGGGACGCCAUAGAGGGUGAGAGCCCCGUAUAGUCGGACACCUAGCCUCUGUAAAGCUCCUUCGACGAGUCGAGUAGUUUGGGAAUGCUGCUCAAAAUGGGAGGUAUAUCUCUUCUAAAGCUAAAUACCGGCCAGAGACCGAUAGCGCACAAGUAGAGUGAUCGAAAGAUGAAAAGCACUUUGAAAAGAGGGUUAAAUAGCACGUGAAAUUGUUGAAAGGGAAGCGCUUGUGACCAGACUUGUGCCGGGCCGAUCAUCCAGUGUUCUCACUGGUGCACUCGGCCCGGUAUAGGCCAGCGUCGGUUUUCGUAGGGGGAUAAAAGCUUCGGGAACGUGGCUCCUCCGGGAGUGUUAUAGCCCGUAGUUUAAUACC